rnacentral:misc_RNA from 1 species
CUGGCUUUUGGCAAGGAUGGUUCUGCAGAUGCGUGGAACUAUUCGUGCAGGGCAUGAAUGGGAUGUCAUGGUGGAUUUGUUUUUCUACCGGGAGCCUGAGGAGGCUAAGGAUAAAGAAGAAGAAGAGGCUGUUGCUCCCCCAGAUUAUGGCAUUGCAGAUUAUGGUGGUGCUCCGCUAGUUGCCUCAGAUCAAUGGGCUGGGCAAAUUUCUGAUGCCCAGUGGGGUGCCCCUGAUGUGGUUCCGGCACCAGACGCUGCUGUAGUUGUGCCACCUGUUUCAAAUGUUGAGUGGACCCAAGAGCCAGUUGGUUUAGCAUCAGACGGAUGGGAUGCUGCAGUACCACCACCAGCACCUUCAG